rnacentral:piRNA from 1 species
UAGGAUGUAAUCUGUGCUGAGUCUCUAGGA